rnacentral:lncRNA from 1 species
UUUUGCUGAUGCCUUGUUUACAUGUAUUACAGUUGAUACUUUGGCUCUGCCCAUGUGUCUUUAAGUGGCUGGUGAUGUACGCUGCACUCAGGAGCUUCCCACAGAUGUUGCAAGAUACCUUGCCUUCGGGUGGCGCACCAUAUGUGUCCGUAGUCUGUCUUUGGUGGCAAAGGCAGCAGUGCAUUACCUUAGAAACCUUUCCCACAAACACUGCAAGUAUAGGGUUUGGUGAUGCCUCCUUCAUGAGACCUCACAUGAUAAGUCAUCCGGUCCUUCCUCUUGAAGCGCUGAUUACAAAUAGGACACUCGAAGGGCUUUUCAUCUGAAUGGGAGAGCUUGUGCCGAUUGAGGUGGUACACAUCUUGGAAGGCCUUCCCACACAUCUCACAAGCAUGGUUCUUCUUGACAGGCUUACUGGGUUUCUUGACAGACUGGGUCACGGGCAUAGCUGUGGUGCUGGCACUGCUGCUGGGGUUGGUGCCUGAGGAGGAUGUAGUGACUGUUGACAAGAUGCCUGCAAUGGUUGAGACCAACGAAGUUCGGCUGCUGUCCCCAGCGAUGGUUGAGAUAAGGGGAACCACCGUGGUGGGGGUUUUCUUUGACGGGACACCAACUUGAUCCCUGUGUGGCAGGACUCGUGGCGCCUCAGGUGAUAGCUGUCCCUGAAAGCUUUACUACAGUAAGUGCACACAAACGAAGUUUUGGGUUUUUCUUUUUUAAUCCCAAUGGCAUCCUUUAACGUUUCUGGUGCAGCCUGAGGUUUCUGAGUUAUUGGUAUUGGAAGCAAUGGUUUUUGAUCAGGGGGCUCCACAGCAGAGCUCAGGAGAGGCAGCAAGCUGUUCUGUGCUGCCUGCUGUUGGUGAUGGGAGGCUUCAUGGGCCUAAAACCAAACAUUUACACUUGAGAAACACAGCUUCUCACAAUGACCUUCAAAAUUCAACAUGUUCCAGACAAUUCAGACCAGAAGAAACAGUCAAAGAGCCUGUGAGCUACUUUCUGCAGCAGAGAUCAAGCAAUCACCUUGCUACUCCCAGAGCUCCAAAUACAAAGCCUUAAAAAAGCACCGUGCGGACAGAAAACUUUUGCAACUAAGUUGCUGACAGUGAUCUUGCAUUCAAAUAGCUGACUAAACUACAUACCACCCUGGUUCAUAAGGGACAUACCAGCUGAUGAAAUCAGUUAGCAUUAGUCUGUCAGUGCUGUAACCAAGUUUAAAUACUUGUCAAAAAAAUUACAACUCAGAUAUAAUUAUUUAACAGUACCUU